GACGAACGCUGGCGGCGUGCCUAAUACAUGCAAGUCGAACGACAGCGCCCGAUGCUUUCCCUGUUCCAUCUAGUGGCUCACGGGUGAGUAACACGUGGGUAACCUGCUCAUCAGCGGUGGAUAACAUCCUGAAACGGCUGCUAAAACCGCAUAGGUCUUCGAGCCGCUUGUCUUGUAGAGGAUACGCGGCGCAAGCUUCUGCUUAUGGCUGUACCCGCGUUGCAUUAGCUAGUUGGUGAGGUAACGGCUCACCAAGGCCGUGAUGCGUAGCCGACCUGAGAGGGUGAUCGGCCACAUUGGGACUGAGACACGGCCCAAACUCCUACGGGAGGCAGCAGUGGGGAAUCUUCCGCAAUGGACGCAAGUCUGACGGAGCAACGCCGCGUGAGUGAAGAAGGUCUUCGGAUCGUAAAACUCUGUUGUUAGAGAAGAACAAGUGCGAGAGUAACUGUGAGCGCCUUGACGGUAUCUAACCAGAAAGCCACGGCUAACUACGUG
rnacentral:rRNA from 1 species